rnacentral:rRNA from 1 species
GACGAACGCUGGCGGCGUGCUUAACACAUGCAAGUCGAGCGGUAAGGCCCUUUCGGGGGUACACGAGCGGCGAACGGGUGAGUAACACGUGGGUGACCUGCCCUUAGCUCUGGGAUAAGCCUGGGAAACUGGGUCUAAUACCGGAUAUGACUCCAUGACGCAUGUUGUGGGGUGGAAAGCCUUGUGCGGCUAGGGAUGGGGCCCGCGGCCUAUCAGCUUGUUGGUGGGGUGAUGGCCUACCAAGGCGACGACGGGUAGCCGGCCUGAGAGGGCGACCGGCCACACUGGGACUGAGACACGGCCCAGACUCCUACGGGAGGCAGCAGUGGGGAAUCUUGCGCAAUGGGCGAAAGCCUGACGCAGCGACGCCGCGUGGGGAUGACGGCC